rnacentral:rRNA from 1 species
CCUACGGGAGGCAGCAGUGGGGAAUAUUGGUCAAUGGGCGCAAGCCUGAACCAGCCAAGUCGCGUGAGGGAUGACGGUCCUAUGGAUUGUAAACCUCUUUUAUAUGGGAAUAAAAUGUUCCACGUGUGGGAUUUUAUAUGUACCAUAUGAAUAAGGAUCGGCUAACUCCGUGCCAGCAGCCGCGGUAAUCCGGAGGAUCCGAGCUUUAUCCGGAUUUAUUGGGUUUAAAGGGAGCGUAGGUGGAUUGUUAAGUCAGUUGUAAAAGUUUGCGGCUCAACCGUAAAAUUGCAGUUGAAACUGGCAGUCUUGAGUACAGUAGAGGUGGGCGGAAUUCGUGGUGUAGCGGUGAAAUGCUUAGAUAUCACGAAGAACUCCGAUUGCGAAGGCAGUUCACUGGACUGCAACUGACACUGAGGCUCGAAAGUGUGGGUAUCAAACAGGAUUAGAUACCCUUGUAGUC